GGAGAGGUGGCUGAGCGGUUGAUAGCGCCGGUCUUGAAAACCGGAGUGGCGGCAACGUCAUCGGGGGUUCGAAUCCCUCCCUCUCCGC
rnacentral:tRNA from 1 species